GCAAGAAAAUAGAAAAUUAAGAGAAAAAAUUAAUAUUACAUGUAAGGAAAUAUUAGCCUGAGGUUGAAUUAAUUAAUGUUGCCAUAGCAGGUUUUGCGUGGCAGUUUCCUUCAUCACGUGGAAGCCAGAUCUGACCUAGUUUUUCAGGGCAGAACCCAGACCUUACACUCAAGCCACUGGUGUCUAACCUAGAUUUAAUCACACACAGCAGGAGUUAAUGAAAGUAUGCCAUGAAGAAAGGAAGCUGAGUUAAACAAGGCCCUGGUAGAGGGAGUUUAAAAAUUUACUCUUAAAUUGUGAUGUGCUGUUAGCAGAGAUCUUAGCUUUGAAAUCACGACUUGUCCUAUCAGUGUUCCUACCUCCCUGGAUCUGCUAAAAUCCAUUUUAAAAAUUUGAUUUAGCCAUAAUUUUGCUUGUAGUGUAAGAGCAUCCCUGUCCACAAAGGGUCAAACAUAUUCUCCGUUGGAUUAAUAGCAAAGAUCCUAAAUGAUCCAUACACUAAGAUAUCUUCAUUAUAACAAAGCUAAAGCAAUGACGCUAGUGCUGAAUGGAGGCACCACCUUAAUUGAUGGCUACCACCUCUCAGAAAAUAUGGGGGUGCUUUCCAAAGCAAGUGGAGAAAACACAGCAGGAGACCAAGUGAAUGUUCUCAUCCCUUGAACAAAGCCGUUAAAGGAAAAUGAAGCCUUUGCUCCUGUAGAUUUUUACAUUCCUCUCGCAUAAUAACCUUCAUAUAGACUUACUGAUGCAAACAGGAAGUAUCCAUAUCUAAGUAAAAAAAUUGCCUCUUGACAUCUUAAAAGAUGACUAGAUUAGGUAAUAAAAGAAUCCCUAAUCCUCCAAAUAGCAGCAGAAGCCACACCUAAUGUGAAACCAUCUCUAUGAUAAAGUGGUUCUUUCUCAUGUAGAUGCCAUUGGGACAGUUCACUCCAGGUGACCUGCCACUUAUUCUUUUGUGAUCUAUGACUUAUUUAGUAGGAUGUUUGUAGAAGCUUUUUCUUUUCCUGUUUAUCAAUUAUUUUAUCCUGUACUAUCUUUGCUAUUCGAAUAUUUACAUAGUCACCAAGGAAAUAAAAGGAGUAGAACUACAUAUUGUUUAGAAUUGCAUAUUGCAACUCUUGCAAUAUUCAGUUAAUUAAGAACUGAUAUUAAGAUCUCUUUUUCAGUUUCAUUCUCAAAGGUGCCUUGUUUUGUUUUUAGCGUUCUAACAGAUUAUUAAGCUCUCUGGUAGCUGGGCAAGUCUUUCUGUAUCAUGGGCCCUCAGUUUUCAUAACUGUAAAGUGAGGUGAUCAGAACAUCAUGGAGCCCCAGUUUUCAUAUCUGUAAAAGGAGGCAGUCAAACCAAAUGAAGUAAAGUCUUGUAGCCGUAAAAUUCUAUUCUUCUUUAAAGCAGGAAUGACCAAAAAAGGAUGGAUCCCAAAGGUAUGCAGAAUGAUUUCAGCAUUCAUAUUGAUGCCAGCAAAAAUUACAUGAAUAUGCAGGGCUCUUGCUUUAAGCCAACUUGGAUGUUGAGCUAAUCUAAUGCAUUUUAAAAGCAAGACCAGCCUGGGACGAUAUCUAUUAAUCAAAUUUAUUGAUAUACUGGAGGGAGGGUGGGUCACACAAUUAUUCAAAGCGUAAUCAAAUUGGCUUCCCAUACCAUCCAAUUAUAUUCAUAUAUUCCAAAGUAGGAAGAACCACACAGUGAUGAAAAAAGAAUUGCAAUACUUAACAGCUUGUAGAACUAUAAUCAUGAUCCAUCCUCUUAGGAACCUCUCAUUGCAGGUUUACCACUUCAGGAUCUUUUAAAAUUAGUGCUUGGCUGCUACAAAAUGAUCAUGUUUUAGAGAGUCAACAUGAGAAGGGAAGAAUCAUAGAAUAUCAGGGUUUCAUAGGGUCCCUGAACUCUCUAGACAUAUGGAAACUUAGUUGCUCUCAUUCCCAUAGAAUCUAAUACAUAAUUCCUCUUGUACUGGAAACACACAACUUUUACAUUUCUCCCCUUGAAAAUAAGAUCAAUUUCUGAGUUCCCUGUUGGCCUAGUGGUCAAGGAUUCAGCAUUGUCACUGCUGUGGCUGGGGUUUGAUCCCUGACCCAGGAACUUCUGACUGCCCGGGGCACAGCCAAAGAAAAGAAAUGAGAAGAAGGUUAAUUUGUUGAAUGUUAGUGAUGGGUGCUAAUUACUUCAUUCAUUCAACAAUUAUUUAUGAUGUGCCUCCCAUGUGCCUGGCACUAGUCUAGGAGCUGCAAAUCUAUGCCAUCAUCAAAUGUACAUUUUAGAAGGAGGAGUUGGACAAUAAGCAAAAUAAAUACCUACACUCCAUAAUGUGUUAGAAGGCCAUAAGCACUAGAGGGGAAACAAUUUAUACAAUAGGGAAGAGACUGUGGAAUGAGAAAAAGCACAGGAGGAACGGGAGAAUUGUGACAUUUAUAUUGGGCAAACAGGGUAGGGUUCACUGAGAACUUGGCAUUUGAGUGAUGACUUGAAGAAGGUGAAAGAGGUAGCUGAAGAUAUCAAAACAAAGAGCAUUCCAGACAGAAUAACCCAUGCCAAGGCCCUGAAGCGGGAACAGGUCUGGUCACAGGAACUUGUCCUCAGGUUGACAAAGGAGAUGCCUUUAGAUAUGGUGCAUUCUGGAUAAAGUUUGAAGAUCAUUCUGAUUAACUGACGAUUGGAUUUGGGGUUCUAGAGAAAGAGAAGAAUCAAGGAGGACUCUCAAGUGCUCUGAGUAACUGGAAAAAUGAGUUUGCCAUUAACUGAGCUGGAAAAGCCUGGGGAUGGAGUGGGUUGGGUGGGUGUAAGAGAUCAAGAUCUCAAAUAAGGAGUGAAGUACUGCUUUGUUAUCGUUAAUGCUUUUACCAUCAAAAGUAAGUUCUUAGGGAAAUGAACGAAAGUUUGUAUGUGUCACUCUUUCAAUAAUAAUGUAAUUUCUAAUCCUGCUCACAUAUAGAGUCCCAUCUAGACCUGUCUAAUGUAUGUCAAGGAAUAUUUUGUUUGUUUGUUUUAAGAAGACCUGAGCAAAACGAAACAUUCUCCUUUUUAAAAAAGAGAAAAAACAAUAAAUUUUGUUUUCUCUUUUUUUUGCGGGGGUGGGGGUUGUCUUCCACUACCUGAAAAUAGAGGAUUCAGUUGAGACAAUUUUACAGAAACAUUCAGUUUCCCAAAGUAUUCUCAUUGAAAUAUUUAGAUGUAAAACUGAAUCUAAUUCAGUGAAUUAUUUGAAUGACUGCCUCUAUUAUCUAUUAUGCAUAUACAUUUAUUUUCUAUUACACAUGGAAACAGGGCCAAAAAUUAAUCAAUACCAUGAAGUUCCCUGGUGGCCUAGUGGUUAGGGACCUGGUGUUGUCACUCCUCUGGCUUGGGUUCAAUCCCUGACCUAGGAAACUUCCACAUGC
ensembl:lncRNA